rnacentral:rRNA from 1 species
GAAAGUAAACAAGGGCGCAUGGAGGAUGCCUAGGCUCUCGGAGGCGAAGAAGGACGUGAUAAGCUGCGAAAAGUUACGGUAAGGCGCAAAUAGCCGUAGACCCGUAAAUAUCCGAAUGGGGCAACCCGGCCAGCAAUGGCCAUACCGCCAAGCGGUAAGCCAACGCGGGGAACUGAAACAUCUAAGUACCCGCAGGAAAAGAAAAUAACCAUGAUUCCGCAAGUAGUGGCGAGCGAACGCGGAACAGCCCAAACCACCCGUGUUACGGCACGAGUGGGGUAGAAGGAUCCACGCUACGGCAAGAAAUAAGUUAGCGGAAUACGAUGGAAAUCGUAGCCAAAGACGGUGACAGCCCAGUACGCGAAAACCGACAGAAGCCCAGUGGACACCUGAGUAACCCAGGACACGAGAAAUCCGGGGCGAAUCAGCGGGGCCCAUCCCGUAAGGCUAAAUACUCCCGAGAGACCGAUAGCGAACCAGUACUGUGAAGGAAAGGUGAAAAGAACCUCGAACAGAGGAGUGAAACAGACCCUGAAACCAUGCGCCUACAAGCGGUCGGAGCAUGUUAAAAUGUGACGGCGUGCCUUUUGCAUAAUGAACCUACGAGUUACUCUCGCUGGCAAGGUUAAGCGAUUCAGUCGCGCAGCCGAAGCGAAAGCAAGUCCGAACAAGGCGUACAGUCAGCGGGAGUAGACGCGAAACCAAGUGAUCUACCCUUGGUCAGGUUGAAGGUUGGGUAACACCAACUGGAGGACCGCACCGAUAAGCGUUGAAAAGCUUACGGAUGAACUGAGGGUAGGAGUGAAAGGCCAAUCAAACUUGGAGAUAGCUCGUACUCCCCGAAAUGCAUUUAGGUGCAGCCUCGAAGUAAAGUGAUAGAGGUAGAGCGACUGAUAAGAUGCGAGGGCUUCACCGCCUAUCAAGUCUUGACAAACUCCGAAUACUAUCACUUGAUCUUUGGGAGUGAGGGCAUGGGUGCUAAGGUCCAUGUCCGAAAGAGGAACAACUCAGACCACCAGCUAAGGUCCCGAAAUAAGGGCUAAGUUGAAUAAACGAAGUAAAACUGCAAAGACAGCUAGGAUGUUGGCUUGGAAGCAGCCAUUCAUUUAAAGAGUGCGUAACAGCUCACUAGUCGAGGAGUUUUGCAUGGAUAAUAAUCGGGCAUAAGCCCUUUACCGAAGCUGUGGAUGUCGUAAGACAUGGUAGGGGAGCAUUCCGGCGGCGACGAAGGCCGUCCUCGAGGACGACUGGAGCUUUCGGAAAAGCAAAUGUAGGUAUAAGUAACGAUAAAGGGGGCGUGAAACCCCCUCGCCAUAAGACUAAGGAUUCCUGAUCAACGCUAAUCGGAUCAGGGUAAGUCGGGCCCUAAGGCGCAGCCGAACGGCGUAGCCGAUGGAAGAAACGGUAAAGAUUCCGUUACUGGAUAUAGGAGCGAUGUGGAGACGGAGAAGUGACACACCCGCCUGCCGACGGAAGCGCAGGUUAAAGGAAGUAGGUAAACGCCGGGUAGGCAAAUCCGCCUGGCGUGCCGAAGCUGACAGUAUCGAGAGCCCCCGGGCAAUCGAAUAGCGCGUGUAAUCAGGCUCCCAAGAAAAUCCGCUAAGCAUAUUCUAUAUCCACCCGUACCCCAAACGGACACACGUAGUCGGGUAGAAUAUACCAAGGCGCUCGAAAGACUCACGGUUAAGGAACUAGGCAAAUUGACCCUGUAACCUCGGGAAAAAGGGUCCCCAGUAAGAUGGGGCGCAGAGAAUAGGUCCAGGCAACUGUUUAACAAAAACACAGGGCUGUGCAAAAUUUCAAGAUGAAGUAUACAGCCUGACACCUGCCCGGUGCCGGAAGGUUAAGAGGAGAGCUAAUCGCAAGAGAAGGCUUGAAUUGAAGCCCCGGUAAACGGCGGCCGUAACUAUAACGGUCCUAAGGUAGCGAAAUUCCUUGUCGGGUAAGUUCCGACCUGCACGAAUGGUGUAAUGAUCUGGACACUGUCUCAACCGUGACUUCGGUGAAAUUGUAGUAUCGGUGAAGAUGCCGAUUACCCGCAACGGGACGAAAAGACCCCGUGAACCUUUACUGCAACUUAGCAUUGCGUUUGGGCAUUUGAUGUGUAGGAUAGUCCGGAGGCUACGAGUCGGCGACGCCAGUCUUCGUGGAGCCGCUGUUGAAAUACGGACCUUCGAAUGUUUGAGCGCUAACUCGCUGUAGCGAGGACACUGUUUGGUGGGUAGUUUGACUGGGGUGGUCGCCU